AUUGAACGCUGGCGGCAUGCCUUACACAUGCAAGUCGAACGGUAACAGGUCUUCGGAUGCUGACGAGUGGCGAACGGGUGAGUAAUACAUCGGAACGUGCCCGAUCGUGGGGGAUAACGAAGCGAAAGCUUUGCUAAUACCGCAUACGAUCUACGGAUGAAAGCAGGGGACCGCAAGGCCUUGCGCGAACGGAGCGGCCGAUGGCAGAUUAGGUAGUUGGUGGGAUAAAAGCUUACCAAGCCGACGAUCUGUAGCUGGUCUGAGAGGACGACCAGCCACACUGGGACUUAGACACGGCCCAGACUCCUACGGGAGGCAGCAGUGGGGAAUUUUGGACAAUGGGCGAAAGCCUGAUCCAGCCAUGCCGCGUGCAGGAUGAAGGCCUUCGGGUUGUAAACUGCUUUUGUACGGAACGAAAAGACUCUGGUUAAUACCUGGGGUCCAUGACGGUACCGUAAGAAUAAGCACCGGCUAACUACGUG
rnacentral:rRNA from 1 species